rnacentral:rRNA from 1 species
UACGGAGGAUCCAAGCGUUAUCCGGAAUCAUUGGGUUUAAAGGGUCCGUAGGCGGUUUGGUAAGUCAGUGGUGAAAGCCCAUCGCUCAACGGUGGAACGGCCAUUGAUACUGCCAGACUUGAAUUAUUAGGAAGUAACUAGAAUAUGUAGUGUAGCGGUGAAAAUGCUUAGAGAUUUACAUGGAAUACCAAUUGCGAAGGCAG